UGAACGCUGGCGGCGUGCCUCAUACAUGCAAGUCGAGCGACCGGACGAGAAGCUUGCUUCUCUGAUGUUAGCGGCGGACGGGUGAGUAACACGUGGAUAACCUACCUAUAAGACUGGGAUAACUUCGGGAAACCGGAGCUAAUACCGGAUAAUAUUUUGAACCGCAUGGUUCAAAAGUGAAAGACGGUCUUGCUGUCACUUAUAGAUGGAUCCGCGCUGCAUUAGCUAGUUGGUAAGGUAACGGCUUACCAAGGCAACGAUGCAUAGCCGACCUGAGAGGGUGAUCGGCCACACUGGAACUGAGACACGGUCCAGACUCCUACGGGAGGCAGCAGUAGGGAAUCUUCCGCAAUGGGCGAAAGCCUGACGGAGCAACGCCGCGUGAGUGAUGAAGGUCUUCGGAUCGUAAAACUCCGUUAUUAGGGAAGAACAUAUGUGUAAGUAACUGUGCACAUCUUGACGGUACCUAAUCAGAAAGCCACGGCUAACUACGUG
rnacentral:rRNA from 1 species